UACAGAGGGUGCAAGCGUUGUUCGGAAUUAUUGGGCGUAAAGGGCUCGUAGGCGGCCAACUAAGUCAGACGUGAAAUCCCUCGGCUUAACCGGGGAACUGCGUCUGAUACUGGUUGGCUUGAGUGUGGGAGAGGGAUGCGGAAUUCCAGGUGUAGCGGUGAAAUGCGUAGAUAUCUGGAGGAACACCGGUGGCGAAGGCGGCAUCCUGGACCAUUACUGACGCUGAGGAGCGAAAGCCAGGGGAGCAAACGGG
rnacentral:rRNA from 1 species